CCGCCCAUAGCUCAGCUGGUAGAGCUGCUCCCUCUUAAGGAGAAGGUCGGGGGUUCGAAUCCCUCUGGGCGGACAA
rnacentral:tRNA from 3 species